UGAUGGGUGUCGGUUUCAAUAAUUGGUGGAGAAAUAGCAAGUGUUGAUUGAAACUAAAGUGGUAGGGUUUUGAAUAGGUGGAGAAUUGAGAGGUUUGUGAUGAGAAUGAGAGGAUGAAAUUAGGGUUUAGAGAGUACACGAGAAACCAUCCACACACGCUUCCUUCCGUUGGUAAAAUGCUACCUUUACAUGUAGAUAGAUAGAUAUGGAGUAAGGACGAAAGCUGGUAAGAAGCAAUCAUCAGAAGAUGCUGUUGUCAAAAAAAUGCACAUUCUGCAGGAGCUU
rnacentral:lncRNA from 1 species